GGUUGACCUCGGAUCAGGUAGGGAUACCCGCUGAACUUAAGCAUAUCAAUAAGCGGAGGAAAAGAAACCAACCGGGAUUGCCUCAGUAACGGCGAGUGAAGCGGCAAGAGCUCAAAUUUGAAAUCUGGCCCCUUUGGGGUCCGAGUUGUAAUUUGCAGAGGAUGCUUCGGAUGCGGCCCCUGUCUAAGUGCCCUGGAACGGGACGUCGGAGAGGGUGAGAAUCCCGUCUGGGAUAGGGUGUCCGUGUCCGUGUGAAGCUCCUUCGACGAGUCGAGUUGUUUGGGAAUGCAGCUCUAAAUGGGUGGUAAAUUUCAUCUAAAGCUAAAUACUGGCCGGAGACCGAUAGCGCACAAGUAGAGUGAUCGAAAGAUGAAAAGCACUUUGAAAAGAGAGUUAAACAGCACGUGAAAUUGUUGAAAGGGAAGCGCAUGCGACCAGACUCGCUCGCGGGGUUCAGCCGGCAUUCGUGCCGGUGUACUUCCCCGCGGGCGGGCCAGCGUCGGUUUGGGCGGCCGGUCAAAGGCCCCCGGAAUGUAUCACCUCUCGGGGUGUCUUAUAGCCGGGGGUGCAAUGCGGCCAGCCUGGACCGAGGAACGCGCUUCGGCACGGACGCUGGCAUAAUGGUCGUAAGCGACC
rnacentral:rRNA from 1 species